GUACAGAUGAACAGCCAGUUAACAUCUCAAUGACCUUCAAUAAGCACACAAGAGAAACCGCAGCCAAUGAAUGACGGCUACCUCUGGUCCCGGUGAGAAACAGGCGGUGGUACCUGAGAGAGCAGCAUAGCGGCGAGCACGGCGAGAGGCAAGACGUGACAGCACCUCCUCAUGGUUGGCGGCGGGACUCCCAAAGACAAGAAAGAUGUUUGGAGCUGCUUCACCUAGCAGGGUUCACCUCGU